GAUGAACGCUGGCGGCGUGCCUAAUACAUGCAAGUCGAGCGAACAGAUGAGGAGCUUGCUCCUCUGACGUUAGCGGCGGACGGGUGAGUAACACGUGGAUAACCUACCUAUAAGACUGGGAUAACUUCGGGAAACCGGAGCUAAUACCGGAUAAUAUAUUGAACCGCAUGGUUCAAUAGUGAAAGACGGUUUUGCUGUCACUUAUAGCUGGAUCCGCGCCGCAUUAGCUAGUUGGUAAGGUAACGGCUUACCAAGGCAACGAUGCGUAGCCGACCUGAGAGGGUGAUCGGCCACACGGGAACUGAGACACGGUCCAGACUCCUACGGGAGGCAGCAGUAGGGAAUCUUCCGCAAUGGGCGAAAGCCUGACGGAGCAACGCCGCGUGAGUGAUGAAGGUCUUCGGAUCGUAAAACUCUGUUAUUAGGGAAGAACAAAUGUGUAAGUAACUAUGCACGUCUUGACAGUACCUACUCAGAAAGCCACGGCUAACUACGUG
rnacentral:rRNA from 1 species